AGCUUAUCAAUGAUGUCCUAAAAAAUAAAUGUCUGAACAUAUGACUGCUAUAAUGAUUUCAGCAUUUAACUGAGAUAAGCU
ensembl:snoRNA Snord72 small nucleolar RNA SNORD72